UACGGAGGGUGCAAGCGUUGUUCGGAAUUAUUGGGCGUAAAGCGCGUGUAGGCGGGAAGAUAGGUCGGGUGUGAAAUCCCUUGGCCUAACCAAGGAACUGCAUCUGAAACCAUCUUCCUCGAGUACGAUAGGGGAGGGUGGAAUUCCCAGUGUAGAGGUGAAAUUCAUAGAUAUUGGGAGGAACACCAGUGGCGAAGGCGACCCUCUGGAUCGAUACUGACGCUGAGACGCGAAAGCGUGGGUAGCAAAC
rnacentral:rRNA from 1 species